rnacentral:rRNA from 1 species
UACGAAGGUGGCAAGCGUUGUUCGGAUUUACUGGGCGUAAAGGGAGCGUAGGUGGUGCGGUAAGCCCUCCGGGAAAGCUUCAGGCUUAACCUGAAAAGGUCGGGGGGGACUGCCGCGCUAGAGGACGGGAGAGGAGCGCGGAAUUCCCGGUGUAGCGGUGAAAUGCGUAGAGAUCGGGGAGGAAGGCCGGUGGCGAAGGCAGGUCUCUGGGCUGACACUGACGCUCAUGCACGAAAGCGUGGGGAGCAAACAGG